UACGGAGGGUGCAAGCGUUAUCCGGAUUCACUGGGUUUAAAGGGUGCGUAGGUGGGUCUGUAAGUCCGUGGUGAAAUCUCCAAGCUUAACUUGGAAACUGCCGUGGAUACUAUAGGUCUUGAAUACCGUGGAGGUGAGCGGAAUAUGUCAUGUAGCGGUGAAAAUGCUUAGAUAUGACAUAGAACACCAAUUGCGAAGGCAGCUUACUACCCGAAUAUUGACACUGAGGCACGAAAGCGUGGGGAUCAAACAGG
rnacentral:rRNA from 1 species